rnacentral:rRNA from 1 species
GACGAACGCUGGCGGCGUGCCUAAUACAUGCAAGUAGAACGCUGAAGAGAGGAGCUUGCUCUUCUUGGAUGAGUUGCGAACGGGUGAGUAACGCGUAGGUAACCUGCCUUGUAGCGGGGGAUAACUAUUGGAAACGAUAGCUAAUACCGCAUAACAAUGGAUGACACAUGUCAUUUAUUUGAAAGGGGCAAUUGCUCCACUACAAGAUGGACCUGCGUUGUAUUAGCUAGUAGGUGAGGUAACGGCUCACCUAGGCGACGAUACAUAGCCGACCUGAGAGGGUGAUCGGCCACACUGGGACUGAGACACGGCCCAGACUCCUACGGGAGGCAGCAGUAGGGAAUCUUCGGCAAUGGGGGCAACCCUGACCGAGCAACGCCGCGUGAGUGAAGAAGGUUUUCGGAUCGUAAAGCUCUGUUGUAAGUCAAGAACGAGUGUGAGAGUGGAAAGUUCACACUGUGACGGUAGCUUACCAGAAAGGGACGGCUAACUACGUGCCAGCAGCCGCGGUAAUACGUAGGUCCCGAGCGUUGUCCGGAUUUAUUGGGCGUAAAGCGAGCGCAGGCGGUUUGAUAAGUCUGAAGUUAAAGGCUGUGGCUCAACCAUAGUUCGCUUUGGAAACUGUCAAACUUGAGUGCAGAAGGGGAGAGUGGAAUUCCAUGUGUAGCGGUGAAAUGCGUAGAUAUAUGGAGGAACACCGGUGGCGAAAGCGGCUCUCUGGUCCGUAACUGACGCUGAGGCUCGAAAGCGUGGGGAGCGAACAGGAUUAGAUACCCUGGUAGUCCACGCCGUAAACGAUGAGUGCUAGGUGUUGGAUCCUUUCCGGGAUUCAGUGCCGCAGCUAACGCAUUAAGCACUCCGCCUGGGGAGUACGACCGCAAGGUUGAAACUCAAAGGAAUUGACGGGGGCCCGCACAAGCGGUGGAGCAUGUGGUUUAAUUCGAAGCAACGCGAAGAACCUUACCAGGUCUUGACAUCCCGAUGCUAUUUCUAGAGAUAGAAAGUUACUUCGGUACAUCGGUGACAGGUGGUGCAUGGUUGUCGUCAGCUCGUGUCGUGAGAUGUUGGGUUAAGUCCCGCAACGAGCGCAACCCCUAUUGUUAGUUGCCAUCAUUCAGUUGGGCACUCUAGCGAGACUGCCGGUAAUAAACCGGAGGAAGGUGGGGAUGACGUCAAAUCAUCAUGCCCCUUAUGACCUGGGCUACACACGUGCUACAAUGGUUGGUACAACGAGUUGCGAGUCGGUGACGGCAAGCUAAUCUCUUAAAGCCAAUCUCAGUUCGGAUUGUAGGCUGCAACUCGCCUACAUGAAGUCGGAAUCGCUAGUAAUCGCGGAUCAGCACGCCGCGGUGAAUACGUUCCCGGGCCU